GGGGCGUGCGCGGGGCGGGGAUGCGCGGGGGGCGGAGAGGGGACCCGGGAGCGUGCGAGUUUCCUUCCCGAGACACCUUCGCCCUCCCGCCGCAGCCCCCGCGGGAGGGGCAGCCCUGGCGGGGCGGGGGCGGGCGGCGCGGAGCCGACGAAGCGGUGGGUGCGGCGGGCUGGGCACAUCCAAUAUGGCCCCUGCGCCGGGAGAAGCCAAUCCCGGGCGCGGUUACUCCGGAGGCUCCGGCGGAGGCCGGGCCGGGAUGCGGGGCAGGCCCCGGGGGGCGGGAGGAGCGGGGGUUUUCCCUGGGAAAGGGAAACUUGGCGCUCCGGCGCGUUUUGGCGAGGCGCUCACGCAGCCGCUCUGGCCGCCCCGGCCGUGCCUCCGGAGGAGUGCGCCCAGCAGCGGGAAUGCCGCCUUCGCUCUAGGAAAUCACGGGGGCGCGUUUGACACCGGCACUGGGGAUGGUGCUCGCUAGCCAAAGCUCUCUGACUCCCUCCCUCUCCCCAGGCAGAACCCGUGGGCUGGCAGCUCAGUUGGUCUGACCCAGCGGUGGCAUCACCAGGUCUUCCAUUGAAAGCUGAGGGCUUGCGGGGAGAGCAAGGGGAAUCCCCGCCUAUUAAAGGCAAAGGUGGAUGCCAGGCAGGACGAGUGUAACCGCAGAACUACAGUGAUUUAUUCUGCCUUGGGAUUCACCACAUGUGUCUUGUAACCCAUUGUAGCCUAUAGAGGGAGAGAUCCUCUGUACUCAGAACAAGGACACUCAUCCUUUAUCCUUCUGUAAGCAUGGAAUAAAAUUUUGCAAGAAAAAAUCUCAA